rnacentral:rRNA from 1 species
CCUGGUAGUCCAUGCCGUAAACGAUGAAUGCUAGGUGUUGGAGGGUUUCCGCCCUUUCAGUGCCGCAGCUAACGCAUUAAGCAUUCCGCCUGGGGAGUACGACCGCAAGGUUGAAAACUCAAAGGAAUUGACGGGGGCCCGCACAAGCGGUGGAGCAUGUGGUUUAAUUCGAAGCAACGCGAAGAACCUUACCAGGUCUUGACAUCUUUUGAUCACCUGAGAGAUCAGGUUUCCCCUUCGGGGGCAGAAUGACAGGUGGUGCAUGGUUGUCGUCAGCUCGUGUCGUGAGAUGUUGGGUUAAGUCCCGCAACGAGCGCAACCCUUAUGACUAGUUGCCAGCAUUUAGUUGGGCACUCUAGUAAGACUGCCGGUGACAAACCGGAGGAAGGUGGGGAUGACGUCAAAUCAUCAUGCCCCUUAUGACCUGGGCUACACACGUGCUACAAUGGAUGGUACAACGAGUUGCGAGACCGCGAGGUCAAGCUAAUCUCUUAAAGCCAUUCUCAGUUCGGACUGUAGGCUGCAACUCGCCUACACGAAGUCGGAAUCGCUAGUAAUCGCGGAUCAGCACGCCGCGGUGAAUACGUUCCCGGGCCUUGUACACACCGCCCGUCACACCAUGAGAGUUUGUAACACCCGAAGCCGGUGGCGUAACCCUC